rnacentral:lncRNA from 1 species
GGGGAGAGGGGGCGGACGCAGACUGGGUGGGGGAGCCUGGAGCAGGGCGUGGGGGCGCAGGCUAGGAGAGGGGGCGCUGGGAGUAGGCGGAUAAAGAAUGCUGGCCUCGGUGGGCACCCACAGUCCCUGCAGUUGGACUACCCUGCUCCCAGCUCCCGUAAAUAGUUUGGCUGAUACCUUGAGGACUAAAGAAGUGCAUGGUGGGGCACUAGUCCCAGUGGGGCUCCUCAUCUCCUGUCAUGACCCCCUCAGGGACUGGGACUGGUACUCUCUCAGGGACUGGGUUUCGAUUGUCCCUAAUCUUGUUGCAUGUUAGAGCACUUGCAUGUGCACAUUUGCGCGCACACACACAUGCACACACACACACGUGCACGCCUUUCACUUGCUCCUCCGUGGUGGCAGAAAUCAGACCCAUUGUACAUAUGGGGAAGUUGAGGUUCAAGAGAUACAGCCACCCACCCAGGGCCACACUGUGAUUAGAGGCCCUCUGACUCCUGGGCCUUUACACCCAUCUAUAGGAGGAUGGCCAGACCUGGUUGGUGAACCACUCCCACUCAAGGCCAGGUCCUCUAGGUAUGGGAGACCUGUCUGAGGAGGAACCUGGUAGGACUCCACAGCCUCCCAGAGGGCACAUCCUGCUCAGGUGACCUCAGCCAGGGUCUUACCUCCAAACCAGUCCAAACCCAACGGACCUUUCAGAGGUUCCCCUAUCACCUUCCCCAAAGACGAGGCACAGCUGCAUUUGAAUCCUCUUCCAGUGCCAGCAAAUUACCUUCUGCAUUUAGCCUGAGUCGCUCAUAUAGGAAAGUGCCCUCAGGCCCUAGACUCUGGGCCUGGCUGGGGAAACUAAUAAUGCCCAUGCCCAGGCAGUACUUACCAUGAGCUGGGCAGCGUACUAGGGAAUCUUUAACUCAUUUUCAUUUCCACUUUAAGAGGUUGCCGAUGUUAUCCUCAUUUUUCAGACGGGAAAACUGAGGUACAGAGUGUUUAAGUAACUUGCCAAGCUUACACAAAGCUGGUGGUAUAUACUGAUGGCAUAAACAAGGGCAUUGGGAAUCUGGGGAACGGACCUUAGGACCUUAUAGAAUUUGUGUUUUUCCACCUUUUGAUCUGAUGAGCAGCUAAGAGAAGCCUCUCUUCUCCACUUCCCCAACCAUGCUGGCUCCAAGUGCCCCCUAGGCCAGGCCCUUGAAGGAAAAAAUCAAACCCUAAAUUUGAAGGUCACUGAAGCUGUCCCUCCACCCCCUGUCAAUUUACUAAGAGAGGGUUAGAGGAAAAGUAACCCCUUCACAACCAUGUCCAGAGACGUGUGUGUGGCCUUUGGUCAGGAACCAAAAUGGUUCUAUUAUCUCAUGUAAUCCUUAUAACAACAAGAGAAGAUCGGUGCUAUUAAGAUUUCAAACCCAGGUCUACUCCAAGCCCCUGGCUGAUGAGGAUCUCUAGGUGACUUCUCUGUUCUCUGCCCUCUGCUCAUGCCAAUAUCAUUGAAGCAUAAUGGGAAGUUACCUACUGCCUCCUAAUGAGUCGGUUUACCAGUCUGUAAAAUGGGCAUAAUGUUGCCGCUUCUCCCUGGGGCCUUGUGAGGAUUAAAUGUGGGGAAGCAGGUGCUCCCAGAAAGUGUAGUUUAGACUGUGUUCUCUCCUCCUCGCACUAUCUUUCUCUGUCCUACCCUUCAUCUACUUGUUCCUCCCAGUAUCACCCAUCCAUCCCUUCCUCCACCUCCCCCCCAGCUCCCCGAGUCAAUAUUCAUAAAAAUAACUAAGUUGUCCAAAUGUGACCUGCAGCAUCCUGGGCCAUUCUUGCUUUCUGGCUGGUGCCUUGGGUCUCCUGGGCAGGCAGGUCCCUAUGUCCCCCAGUCCCCCAUCUUGGGGACAGCUUGGUGGGACCUCAACUCACCGUCCCCUGUUCAGCUGUGGAUGCCCUUCUGACUGCCCUCACCCCUCACU